CUAUUCUGGCGGCACGGCAGGUGUACCGGUGCCCGUAGUGUCGGCCUAAUCGUCUGUGGUGUUUGCGGUUUCGGAGCGUCGCCGACGUUCGAGGCGGUACCGAGUGGGCAUGGGUGUAGCCCGGACGGCGGUGGUAGAGCGGGGCGCAGCGGCGAUUCGGCUUCGUCGCGGGGGGCUAGACCGUAGGACACGGGUGCGAACCCGUUGGCAGCGGCGGUCGGCAUGGCGUGCACGGCGGCCUGCUGCGCGCCAAGUCGUGGAUGGGCAGCACCAAGGCGCAGGCGUUCGUCCGGCGGGGUUUCCGCUCUGCUCGUCCAGGGCGACGGUGGCCGAGGCAGGCCGGCCCGAAGUGGGCCUCCUCUCGCGGCCGCUGCCGCUCCGCUUCCAGCCUCACCUCCCCCGGCUCUCAAACUGGUCCCUUAGAACGUUGGAACCGAUGGGUAGCUCCUGGAACUACCUCACCAAUACUUGGUUUGAUACUUCUCAGGUAAGAGAUCCACAAAGGUCAAUAAAGGUGGGUUACAAACAAAAAUAAAGUUAAAAAAAGUUCGGUUGGCAUUCCUUACGAAUGUACAAUCACGAUUUAGACACAUACCACCACUUGUUAUUUAAAUAAGUUAUAAAGCUUACAUUUUUGUUUAGGUUUAGUCUAGAAGUUAAAGUAAAAGUUAAGUAUAAUACACACAAAAAGAAACUUCGACGUAUAUCUUGGGUCUUUCAGGGCGGCGUUGCGCGCCCCGUAGUAGAUCAAUGGAUUUCUUCGACUCAAGUCCAUGUGCCCUCUCCUGACCGACGUCUACAACAACGAUAGGUUCUGGGUCCAGUAGGCAUUGUUUUAGUACGACUAAGAAACCGUCAGUACCUUGAACUCUUUGUUACGAUAGGUAUCACUACGUUUUCUCUGACAUCGCCCUAGCCACGUCAUAGAUGACACGGACAUGAGACUUGGCUACAGACUACGUAUAAGUGGCUCGCCUCUCCCCUUAUUUUUAUUCUAAAGCGACAAGGGUUUACCGGGUCCUGCCGGCUACUAAGGUUGUGGAAGAGAAACCAGACGUGGUUAAAGCCCGUGUCGCUUCAAUUUAAAACUACGGAGAAAGUAGUCCCUUUGCCCUCUACGAACCCCCUCACGUCAGCUAUCCCUAGUAUUCCUCUAAAAGACAGUCAACCAGCCACCGAUGGGCCUACGUCAAGUCACCUUCUUCGCCCUCCUCGGCGACGAGACUACCCACACUGUCUAAAACGCUGAAACAAGGUACCGGUCAACUAAGACCUGAGACCUCUGUCGGACGCGCUCCGAACCUACCCUCAAGAUCAGGUUCCUCUGAAGGUUCUGACGUACCGUACUACAUGAAUUCCUGCACUUUUACGUUCGACCCCGCAAGUCCGUGUGCCUACAGUCGUACUAGUUCUCCCCAAUUGUUGUUCACCCGGAUACUCGACCGUCGUCAACGUUCUUCUAGUCCGCUGAGGUUUGACUAACGUCUGCAACGGUUGCUCCAACUGCGUGAUUUUGUUUGGGCGUGCUGUUUGUGAUUAUUAACCCUAAUGG
rnacentral:rRNA from 1 species